UACGGAGGGUGCAAGCGUUAUUCGGAAUUAUUGGGCGUAAAGGGCGUGUAGGCGGCCAGAUAAGUCAGAUGUGAAAGCCCAGGGCUCAACCCUGGAAGUGCAUUUGAAACUGUCUGGCUUGAGUGCGGGAGAGGAAAGCGGAAUUCCCAGUGUAGAGGUGAAAUUCGUAGAUAUUGGGAGGAACACCGGUGGCGAAGGCGGCUUUCUGGACCGACACUGACGCUGAGGCGCGAAAGCGUGGGGAGCAAACAGG
rnacentral:rRNA from 1 species